UACGAAGGGGGCUAGCGUUGCUCGGAAUCACUGGGCGUAAAGGGUGCGUAGGCGGGUCUUUUAGUCAGGGGGGAAAUCCUGGAGCUCAACUCCAGAACUGCCUUUGAUACUGAAGAUCUUGAGUUCGGGAGAGGUGAGUGGAACUGCGAGUGUAGAGGUGAAAUUCGUAGAUAUUCGCAAGAACACCAGUGGCGAAGGCGGCUCACUGGCCCGAUACUGACGCUGAGGCACGAAAGCGUGGGGAGCAAACAGG
rnacentral:rRNA from 1 species